AAAGCGGUUAUUAAGGGCGCAUGGUGGAUGCCUUGGCUUCAAACAGCGAUGAAGGACGUAGCGUGCUUGCGAUAAGCGUCGGGGAGGUGGCGAGCAACCUUUGAUCCGGCGAUGUCCGAAUGGGGAAACCCCCGGCGAUGUCCGAAUGGGGAAACCCUAUCGAGGUCAUACUCGAUAACCUGCCGUGUAAUAGCGGCAUGGAGUACACCCGCUGAAGUGAAACAUCUCAGUAAGCGGAGGAAAAGAAAAAAAGCGAAACUUCUUUUUAGUUGCUAGUGGCUAGUUUCUAGUCGCUAGUUGCUAAAAGAUAGUUUCAACAUUCCCGUAGUAGCGGCGAGCGAACGGGGAACAGCCCAAACCAACCGUGCUUCGCACGGAAAUUCCAAAUUACAAAACCCAAAUUCCAAACAAAUUCAAAAAUUCCAAUUUCCAAAUUCAAAACGUUUUGAAUUUAAGAUUUUGGUCAUUCGAUAUUGUUUGUGAUUUGGUGAUUGGAGCUUGGUGCUUCCGCGCGGGGCGCGGCUUGGGGUUGUAAGGUAAUGAGUCCAGAGCUUGCUCUGGUAAGAGUAAACAUAAAUCGAGACUUCGUUAGGAGAACGGCCCUGGAACGGCCGGCCAAAGAGGGUAAUAGCCCCGUAAACGAAAACGGUUUCGUGCUCUAAUCAUUAUUCUUGAGUACUGCCCAGGUAGGAGUCUGGGUAGGAAUCUGGGAGCACUAGUCUCCCAAGGCUAAAUAUGUUUGAAGACCGAUAGUGAACCAGUACCGUGAGGGAAAGGUGAAAAGCAGCCCGGUGAGGGCGGUGAAAUAGUACCUGAAACCAUGUGCUUACAAGGAGUCGAAGCCGUGCUUUGCACGGAAAUCCCAAAUUACAAAUCCCAAAUCACAAACAAAUCCCAAAUCUCGAAAUUCAAAAUUCCAAACACGUUUUGAAUUUAGGAUUUUGGUCAUUCAAUAUUGUUUGGAAAUUGGCGCUUGGAAUUUGGUGCUUCCGCGCAGAGCGCGGUGACGGCGUGCCUAUUGAAGAAUGAGCCAACGAGUGUACGGAGAUUGCUUGACUAAACUACUUUGUAGUGAAGUCGCAGGGAAACCGAGUGUUAAUAGCGCGAUCUUAGAUUUUUAGUUCGUGUAAACCCGCCAAAAUUUUGCAAAACAAAACUUAGGCGGGCGAGUCGUGGACUUCAGUGAGGGAAAUUCAGUAAUACGUUCGCAGAAGAUUUGUUGGGAGGUCUCAGGCUGGCAAAGCAAAGCCGAGGGUUCGAAUCCCUCCCUCCCAGCCAAUCUGCAAAGUUGAAGAGCAGAGAUAGCUCAGCGGCAGAGCAUCGGAAGAAGCCAUAUAUCUCGUAGCUACAAGCUUCGGGGAUAUAGGUGAUGGAUCCGGGGGUCACGGGUUCGAACCCCGUUCUCUGCUCCAACUCUGCGGCGCGGAAGAACUGCGUCGCAAGCAUCUUGUUGCGGUGGAAACCGGCAAAGCCUCCCAGUAGCCUAUCGGCGAAGUUGAGGCGGGGGAAACCCUCGAGGUUAUGAGCCGCAACAAGAAAUUCUGGUGCGAGUACCGAGCCCUUAUAGGCGCUGAUGUUCAUAGGGGUGGCCAGCGUGAGCCGCCUCACUUGGCGCCGGGGUUACCGGAUAAAUACUCGCACCAGGCCGACGCGCGCGUGCGCACGCGCGCGUCGGGUCCUUACUGAAGUUCACGAACCGUGCAUAGCACGGAAAUUCGAAACUUGAAUCUCGAAAUUCUAAACAAUAUCGAAAUUUAAAAUUCUAAUGUUCCAAACGUAUUUGGAAUUUAUGGUUUUGAAAAUUGAGAUUUGUUUCGGAUUUCGAAUUUAGGAUUUCGUGCUUCCGCGCUGUGCGCGGGCGAACUAAAGAUCUAUAUGUAGUCUUCAUACGACCCGAAACCAGGUGAGCUACCCAUGAGCAGGGUGAAUCCGCCGUAACUGGCGGAGGAGGCCCGAACCGGUUGAUCGUUCAACGUCUUCGGAUGACUUGUGGGUCGGAGUGAAAAGCUAAUCGAACCUGGAAAUAGCUGGUUCUCUUCGAAAUAAAUACAGGCAGUCCAAUCAAACUCCGAAUGCCAGUUACGUUAUUCCGGCAGUCAGCAGGCGGGGGCUAAGCUCCGUCGUGCAUGAGGGAAACAGCCCAGACCGCCGAUUAAGGUCCCUAAAUCAAUGCUAAGUGUUAAGGCGGUGGAAUUUCUUAAACAGCGAGGAGGUUGGCUUAGAAGCAGCCAUCCUUUAAAGAGUGCGUAACAGCUCACUCGUCAAGAGAUUCUGCGCCACAAAUGUAUCGGGGCUAAGCAUUGUACCGAAAUCGCGGAUGCGUGCGUAGCACGGAAAUCCUAAAUCCGAAAUCCUAAACUCUAAACAAAUCCCAAAAACCCAAUUCCAAAGUUCAAAACACGUUUUUGAUUUGGAUCAUUUGGAUUUUAAAUUUGUUUAGGAUUUAGUGCUUAGGAUUUAGAGUUUGCGCGCUGCGCGCGCGUGGUAGAAGAGCAUUUGCAUCUGCAGUGAAGCCCACGACGCGAGUCGGGGUGGAGCGGUGCGAAGAGAGAAUGUUGGCACAAGUAACCGCAAGUCAGGUGAGAAUCCUGACCGCCGAAAGUCCAAGGUUUCCUUGGCAAUGAUUAUCAGCUAAGGGUUAGUCGGUCCUAAGGGGAUGGCGAACGCCGGACCCGAUGGAUAUACGGUUAAUAUUCCGUAACCCGAGUUUUGAUCGAUGGCGCGACGGAGUGUAGUAGGUUGAGUGGAUUAUUGGAUUUCCAUUCAGCGCACGAGGGGGCAGUGUAGGCAAAUCCGCACUGCUGGAUUUAAUUCCGACUUCAAGUGCGAUGAAAAUGCGUUUCUUCGGAUCCUGCAAAUUCAAUCGAGCGCGCUUCCCAGAAAAACGUCUAAGAUUAUCGAAAUUCGGACCGUACCGCAAACCGACACAGGUGGACUAGUGGAGAACACUAAGGCGAACGGGUGAGACCUCGUUAAGGAACUAGGCAAAAAAGCGGCCGUAAGUUCGCAAUAAGGCCUGCCUCAUUGAGGCUGAUAGAAGGAUAGAAAAGACUGUGCGGAGCAUGAUUUUGAAAGCAAAUCAAAACCCCCACCGUGGGUUUUGAUUUUCGCCGAAAUUUCUCGCUCGUCCCGACUUCGUCGAGACACCAUGGCCGCUCGAA
rfam:Parcubacteria bacterium GW2011_GWB1_52_7 TY71_C0010, whole genome shotgun sequence.